UAUGAUCUAAAAUAAACAUACUAACACGACUAUGUUAGUAUCGCCUAUACACAUCUUUUUCUUACACGGUGCUAUCUUUUGCUAAGUCGGCAUGGAUUCCUAGCUCUAUAUAUUCCAAUUUGGUGAAAGAUAUGAUUCAUAUAAGUUGGAAAAGUACCACCAUAGUGGAAGGUUACCAGUCAAGAAAUGAUGCUGAAUGGAACGUUUCUGUGUGCAUGGCAUUAAUUGGAGCACGUGUAUUUUGCUUCACGUGGAAGUCCACAUCACUGGCCUCAGAAGAUCCAAGUGUCCCAGCUACUUGAGUGCUUGCAGAAAAGGAAAUGUCUUGAUCUAAUGGGAAAUACCCAAGAGUGGAAAUUAGCACUUAUGGCAUAGGAUGAAGGGUCCCAUUAGACAUGUCACUACAAAAAUAGCCAUCAUUUGUAUAGUGAUCCUGAAGCUAUAAUGGUCCGGUCGGCUACACUCCUGGGAUCUUUGUAGACUUAAUGGAAACACUUACUAUGAGGAAGUAACAAAUGGAGGUCUCAUAGACAUUUAGAGCAAAGAACUACGUUGCUUUCUAGCCCACUCACUCUUAGUCUGGAAUGUUCCAACAGGAAUGCACCUCAACGAUAGAUCUGGAUGGUUCUGACCUGUAUAUACAUACCAAAAUCAACUAAUAAAAACAAAAGGUAACACCAAUUAGAACCACAACAGCCCUAAAUGAUCAGUUAAAGAAAUAGAAUGCAAAGGCAUCACAAACAUUACGUGAAUAAAAAAUGUCCAACAUAUGCAAUAUAUCACAUGUGAUAGCAACAUGAAAGCUACAAAGAAUUUUGAGUAAAUCAGGAUGUGCGAUUUUCUCAUUUCAGUGGAUUUUUUUAUGAAUCUAGCGACAGCAGAUUGCAUAUCUGAAGUAAAUGAAGUUCUUCACAUGGGAAUAAACUUCACCUUGGAAAGACUGAACUUCGAAGGCACAGCUUCAAUCAGCUUGAUUUAUCAACCUUAGUAACCUCAAGGGUAGGGGAAAAUGGCUCAUCAAGUUACCCUCAAGAAAAAUAUGUACUAUAAUAUUAGUCGUAGCAGAGAUAAAACUCAGAAAGUGGACCAAGAUUGUGCCCUUCCCAGUGGACGAGGUCGGCUUGCAGGUGGGUGGGUGGGGGCUUGUGUGGAGGUAUCAAAAUUGCAACCAUCAGGUUGGACGUUAUUUCUUAAUCUCUCUGCUUUCUGAAACCAGGGUGAAGGCACAUAUGUCGACAGAGCGACCUUUGCAACUUCAACUGGUGCUCUGCCGCUCUUUACUAAAUUAGAAAGAUGGUCUUAAUUAUGUGAGGGCAAAACGACUAAUAAGAGAUCACUAGCUUUCUGAUCGAAGAAACAUAAGGGGCAAGGUUGAUGAGUCAUUGGGUUGGUGCGGCAACAUAUAAGAAAUGAGAACCCACCUAAUUCCCAUAAAAAUCGCCAACAUAAACAAAAAUAAAAGCUUAAUCCCGUAAACAAAGUGAAUCACUUAUACUUUUGGAUAUCAGAUAUAUGACAAAUGGUUUUUUGGUCCCUCACAUCUAGUGAUUAGGACAUUGUUUUCCCAAGUCGAAUAUAUUUUACAUUUUUGCGAAGGUGAGAUAAGAAUUAAUGGCAACAGUUUCCAUCAAAAUUAUUUAAAGGAGGAGACUACGUUUUCCUGGAUUGGAAGGUUUGAGUUUUACAGAUUCAUCUAACAGAUCAUGCAGUUGAGUUCAUACAUCUUCUUAAAUACCAUUUACUUACUAUAGAUCAGGCUUCUAUCAAGAAACAUUAGGAUUAAAAGUUUUAUUUGGAGGGGCAUCUUAGUAUGUGAUUCAAAAAAACACUAUUUAGUUUACAGCUCUGUGAUACAACUGUUAUCAGCCUACCCAAAACAACAGUUUUAAAAUUUCAAUGGACUAAAUGCAUCCUUGUAUCUCCAAUAUUUUGUUUUGCAUUACCAUCAGAAUAUUUUUUGCAAAACCAAUAGUUAUCCACAAGAGACUUCAUGAAAAACUCACUCGUAACUCCAUCAAUCGGUGACAAACUGCUACUGCUGACAAACUGCUACUGCAAUUACACAGUUUGCAGCAUAAAGUUUAGGAACUUCCUAGCAACAAGUAAAGCACAUAUGUCUUGCAAGAAAAGGAUCAAACAGGACAAGUCAUAGUUUUUCAUAUCGACUAGGCAGUCAUUUCAUGAGGAUGAUGCUCACUAUCUCUAACAAACGACUAGGACAAGAAAAUCACCUACAAACUGCUCAAAAAUUCAAAAACAGAAAGCAAACCACAAUUUGUAUAAUCUCAUCAUGGGUACAUGCUUGCUACAGCGAUUGCAAGCUCUAUGCUUCAAAGAUUCCACUAGAAGAUUGACGCUUCAAGCACCAAAGGUAAAAAUCGAGAAACUAAGGAACUGACCAAGCAUGAGCUUUCACUAGCUUGACUCACCAAAAACGUUAAACAUUUGCAACCAUUGAUCAUUGGUUCUGAAUGUUCAUUCAGGGAAGUAACCAAUACAGGAUCCUCGUAACAAUUUGUUGUACAUGUUAGGAUUAAUGGCCUAGUGCUUUGGAUGCUGCAUAUGUUGACCAUGUACAGAGAUUGAAUUUUGCAGUGUAGUAAAUAUGGCCGGCUUAUUGAGCAAUCUGAGUUAAGCACACAGAAUGUGAAAGACACUUGUUCAAGUUGUUCUCCCAAAAGCUAUAGACACUUGAUUAUUGAGAUCCUAUGCGAAGGAAAUAUAACCAGUCCAUUGCACUACUACUGAUUCCGAGAAGUAGAAAGUGAAUAAAAUUCAAGUUAAGGUUCUCCCACAGUACUACGGAAUUCAUAUGGAACCAGAAAGUCAAGGGCAUCAAACAAAAGGCUCCUCCUAAAAGAUACAGAUAAAUAGAAGGCAGAAAGUUGCUGAAUUUACUAGUAUAAAUCUCCCAUUAGUAUCUGUGCGACUACUGAAAAAUUAGCUAGCCGUUCUAAUCCAACUUAACAUAUCUAUUUUAGCAUCAAACACAUUCAAUGCAGAAGCACACAAAAGGUAGGUUCCAAGCUAAAGGCUCAAUUAUCAUCUUAGAUGUCCUAAAUUAACCCCUCCUCCAAUCCCUAUCUCAAAAAAAGAGAUUGUCACUUCCCAAGGAGCUAAGAAACACUUGGAUGAUAUCCACAUCAAACACGUAUUAUUCACUUGAACAGGCUUAAUAAAAUAAGCACAACUCUGUUAAUUCAUCAUACCUCACUUAUCAUUUCCUGGAGCUCUAAGUUAACAAGACUCUGUGGCUUGCAAGAACGCACGGGUUCAACAAUUGGUUCAGGGGUACAGGUUGUAGUAUAUAAUACGUGAAAACAGGGGUAUGGCCAGACAUCAGAGGGACCUUCGUCAAUUGAGACGACUCUAGGAGAUUCCCCUCAACAAUAUUUUGGACCUCCAUGGCAAAGGCAUCACUUAAUAAAGGAUGGUACAUGAUAAACAAAAUAAGGUAACAAUUUACACAAUCUCACAAAUCACUCAUCAUUCCCAUAAAAGUUCUUCUAAGGGAUAUAUCAUCAUACUUCAUAUUCUUAUCAAGUAGCAUAUAGCACCUGUACUUACCCAAGCAGGAUAUGACUUUAACAAUGAAGGUUAUUACUUCAUCAUUUCCUUUAUUUUUCUUCUAUACUUCCUUUCCAUUUAUAUUAUAAUUUUCAUAAGUUCCUUGACUGGUUACUCCUCAUUUGUCUAACCUACUUCGGAUACUCCAAAAAUGUAUAAUUUUUGGAGGAUCAGACCCACAACCAGACGACAUUUUUGAAGAAUUCGAGCAAUAUAAUCAUAGUUUCACGGGUUACUAACACAACUACAUAAAUUACUAAACAAUUAAGCCUCGUCAUCAAUCAAUCUGUCCAUGAACCAAAAGCCCAACAUAAAUAUCACCAUGCAUGUGGGAAGAAAAUACAUAGACGUCCUUAUUGCUCGAUUUCAAGCUAAAAUUCAAUGAAACGUGAAACAAACUAAAACAUAUAUUUCAAAUUUUCAUGAAACGUUAUGUAUUGUUGAGAUUAUACAGAAAAUUCGACAUUGAUGAAGAUCGAAAUGUGUGAAAGAAUACAAGUCAGGGAAAACCUGUCAACGAUGAAGCAAAUCCUAUCGAUCGAUCAUCCAGACUCCAAAUUUAAGCAGGUUAUCAACAUUCAUCCAAGCAUAUAUAAUAUAUCCUUCACUGGAAGUGCAAGAUCAAAGAAAAGGCUUCAGUGCAAGAUCAAAGAAAAGGCGAGUAUAGGUCGAUCUCAUUGUUGACCUAAUUCCUAGAGAAGCG
rnacentral:lncRNA from 1 species